UUAUAAAGCUUUUAAUAUUUCAACAGCUUAACUGCUUGGACAUUCUAGUAAACAUUUUAAAACAGUGGUUUGUAGAAGAUUAUGAGUUUUUUAUCACUCAAUAAUUAAUCACUAAUGAUCCUUCCGCAGGUUCACCUACGGAAA
rnacentral:misc_RNA from 1 species